GACUGGCUUCUUCCCCAGUUCCAGUGUGAAACCAUGUCUAGACCCAAAGCCUUUCCAGUCUUUUUCUAGCCGUCAGUCCUCCAGAGAGACAGAUUACAACGUUUAUCCCUGGUUUGCAGGAAACAUGGAGCGACAGCAGGCCGACAACCUGCUUAAGUCUCACAGCAGCGGCACCUAUCUGAUCCGAGAGAGGACGGCGGAGGCCGAGAGAUUCGCAAUCAGCAUCAAGUUUAAUGAUGAAGUGAAGCAUAUUAAAGUUAUUGAGAAAGACAACUGGAUUCACAUCACAGAGGCAAAGAAGUUUGAUAGCC